rnacentral:lncRNA from 1 species
AUGUUACACUUAAUAGGACUACAAGAUCUCAUUGCAAAAUUGAAAAUGAAAUAGGAUCAAAUUCAUCAGAUAAUCUAAAAAUAAACUAUGUAUCUCCAAAAAUGGUUGAAAUGCAAAGCUCACUUUUACCUUUCAAGACCCUACAAAACGCUUGUACAUCAAGGUCAGAAAGCAAGAUUGAUUUAACUAAUAGUUCAUCUGGUACUUCAGAACACAUCACCAGACAACAUAAAAACUUAAAUACCAUAAAGAAAAGAAAUAUGAGUUUUAGUGUUGCUGAAACAAAAAGUGAUGAGAACAAACAUGCUUCUUUUGCACCUUGUGAUCAAAGAAAUAUAGAUGAUACCUUUGCAGAAGAUCACGACACAACAGAUCCUACACAGAAAUCCUGUCUUUCAAACAUAAAUCCAGGAACUGAUGACUGUCUUGUGCCUAAUGCAACAAUGUUCUCAAAGCCCGUUUUCCAUUUUUUGAGAGAGAUCCAUACCAAUCUAGAAAUGAAUGACACAGUCCUUGAAUGUCAAGAUAAUGAAAUGUUAAAUUCAUCUAUUAAAAAUUCUACAUGCAUCAGUUCUCCAGAACCCACAUGUAUCCAGGGCAAAGUUUCUAUUCUGCAAGAAAAUAAAAAACAUCCUGCAAAAACUGAGUCAGAGGAAAAAUAUAUGAAGAAUACAUUGAAGCCCAGUAUGAUACCCUUUG